AUUGAACGCUGGCGGCAUGCUCUACACAUGCAAGUCGAACGGUAACAGGCCGCAAGGUGCUGACGAGUGGCGAACGGGUGAGUAAUGCAUCGGAACGUGCCCAGUCGUGGGGGAUAACUACUCGAAAGAGUAGCUAAUACCGCAUACGAUCUAUGGAUGAAAGCGGGGGACCGUAAGGCCUCGCGCGAUUGGAGCGGCCGAUGUCAGAUUAGGUAGUUGGUGGGGUAAAGGCUCACCAAGCCAACGAUCUGUAGCUGGUCUGAGAGGACGACCAGCCACACUGGGACUGAGACACGGCCCAGACUCCUACGGGAGGCAGCAGUGGGGAAUUUUGGACAAUGGGCGCAAGCCUGAUCCAGCAAUGCCGCGUGCAGGAAGAAGGCCUUCGGGUUGUAAACUGCUUUUGUACGGAACGAAACGGCUCUGGUUAAUACCCGGAGCUAAUGACGGUACCGUAAGAAUAAGCACCGGCUAACUACGUG
rnacentral:rRNA from 1 species